UGGCGGUGAUUUGUUUCGCCGCUGAUAGAGGUGAGCGGAGGGAGCUGUUGCGUAGGGUGAGCUUGGGGUGUAUAGAGGGGAAUAGAUGGAGCUACUACAGAGGGCUGCGGAAGAUUGUGUGCGUGUGUCCUGUUGUGUGGGUGGUGUGUAUAACUGCCCUGUACAGGUGUACUAGUUUAUGUGUGUAAAUAGUUACUUUGUGUGUAAACAAAGCAGGGGGUUGGGAGAGGCUGCUGGUACGUGGCUGUGAUGUUUGUACAGGUGUGUAUAACAGCCUAAAGGUAUGUGUUGUCGCUUCUGUGUGUGUUCUAGUAGGUUGUGUGAUUUAUGUGGGUGUAAAUACCGUGUUGGUUUGUCGGAGGUGUUAGCAGGGCAGGUGCGGGUGUUAAUUGAAAUUGAAUAAGAAGGCUGAUCUAAGGCUAUUGAUUAGGCAGUCUAUGGGACUGGUGUGAUGGAAACUGAUGGAAGGAGGGUUGGAUGGAGAAGAGAGUGUAUGAGAUUGAAAAUAUGGGUACGAGUAUGCUGAUAAUGUUUUUGGGGUGGUAUUUUAAGAGUUUAAGUAGUGAAUUAAAGAUUUAGAAUUAUUCAUACUUGACUUAGAAAGUUUUGGCCGUCGCUGGUCUAUUUUGCAGUAUAAUUCUGGGUUAAUUGAGUUCAGUUAUGUGCUUAAUCUUUAUGUAAUAAUGUGCUACUUGAAGUCUAGAUCAAGUACGAAAAAGAAUUUCGAAAUUUCAUUAAACGAGCUAAAAGAGAUGUAUGUUUUAGUGCGAGGUGCGCAGAAAAUUCUGGGCAGGUUUGUCCUGUUCCAGGCCCUGUUUUGCUACCUUUAACUUGGUAUUUACUUAUGAAAAUUUUAAUGGAGUUUGAUAUUGGAGUCUGGAAUGUGCUGUUAAAAUUUUAUACAAUCAGACCAAUUUUUCUAUUUAUUAAAAAAUCUUAGCGUCGGGCUGGUUUUUCAAGACAGUUUCUGGUGCCUAAUUGACAUGCCUGUUUUACUGCUUUAAGCUUGGAGUUUCUUUCUGAAAAUUUUACUGUAGGUUGGAAUAAUGUGUAGGAGUGUCUCAUAAAAAUUUCGUAUUAUAUCGAUAAAUUUUCAAUUUAUUAAAAAUCAUAGAGUAAGGGCUAUUUAAACUAUUUGCUCUAGUUUUCUUUCUUUGUUGGUGCAUAAUAUGAAGUUAUACUUGAUUAAUUGCAUACGAUUGAUUAUUAAUUGAUUGGCUCAGUUGGCCUUGUAUAUCUUAUUAAAUGUAUUUUGUGUAUAGUGAACAAGCAAUCGUGCGGAAAGAUUUUCUUAUGUGUUUACUGCAAGUCAAGACAUCUUUUUAUAUUAUAAUUCAUGUGUUGGAAAUAGUAUUGGCUGGUUGUUGGUAUUGAAAACAGGUGGAUAAGCCUAUAAACAGAGGAGAUGUUGCCGAAUUUUUAUUAGAAAUUAAGGUGUUUAUUUAUUACUAAAUAAUUGAUACUUGAUGGCAGUAUAUUCUAUUUGAACUGGAAUAUCUAUCGAUUGUUUAUUGAUUAUGUGAUUAUGUGUUGACUGAUCCAAUGUGUAUAUAUUGCUAUGUGGAUAUCUGUAUAUAUUCAUGUUUAUUAUAUAUGGAUAUGCGAAGGGUAGAUGUUCGUGAUUCUUAUAAUAUUUAGAAUCAGCUAGUUCUUCUAAUCCGAAGACUUAGAUAUUAUCCUACUAUCGUGUAGAAUAAUCAAGACGUGUGUAUCGAGAAUGUUCAUUAUUAAUUUGAUGGUGUUGCAACUUGAAGCAAGAAAUAUCUGAGAAGACAAGACGUAGAAAGAAUAUUGUCGGAAGCUACUUAGAAAGAUAUGGUUGUGCAAUGUAGUGCUAUUAGAAUCGUGGCUAGACAUCGGAGUUGAGGCAAGUAAUUCUAACUUUCUCUUGCAAUUAGAGGCAAGUAUUUCUAUUCUUCUCUUUUAUUUAAAGAGCAAGUACUUCUAUCUAUCUUUCCCUUGCAGUUAGCAAGUAUUUCUAUUCUCAACUUGUAAUUACUGCAAGUAAUUCUAUUCUGCAUUUAUAUUGAAAGGGCAAGCAUUGUUAUCUUUCUCGUGUGAUUAAAGAUAAGUUAAAUAUUUCUAUUGUUAGAUCUGCAGUUGACAACAUUGCUAGACAUAUAUUAUGUUCUUGAUAGCUGAGAUAGCUACUUGGUUACAUUGAGUUAUAUGGUGGUGAUUUGAAAUAAGAAAAGAAGAGUUUUUGAAUAAAUAUAUAUAUGGUUGCGAAAGAAAUAAAUACAUAUGGUGAAGGGCUAGUGAAUAGCCGAGGGCUAUUGAAUAGCCGGGGCUAGUGAAUAGCCAAUCAGAAAAGCGAGCAAGAUGCCUAUUGUGUAUACCAAUAAUUGUCACCGGGAGGACUUUAUGUCCGAGGCCCGGGGCACCAAUAAUUGUCACCGGGAGGACUUUAUGUCCGGGGCCCGGGGCACCAAUAAUUGUCACCGGGAGGACUUUAUGUCCGGGGCCCGGGACACCAAUAAUGGUCACCGGGAGGAUGUUAUGUCCGAGGCCCGGGAUAAGGAUUCUAUUGUCUUGGGAACUGUAAAAGUUAGCGUAAGAGGCUAGUAAACCUAGUCCAACUGUUGAGGCCAAUUAGAUGCCUAGUGGGUACCCUAGUGUCGUUACCGGUGGGACUUAGAUCCAGUGCCCGGAACGAUCCGUCGUCGGUGGGACUUAGAUCCAGUGCCCGAGACGGAGGACUUUACGUGGCUGAUCACCCGUAUUGUCAGAUGAGUUGAAAGGAAGUUAAUAAUUAAAUAUUCUUAUAAAUGGACUAUAUUCUGAUAAAAGAAUAGCUUGGACCCAUUGUAAUCGAAAUUUUUAUAAAAAAGGGUGGCAGUAUGUAAUUGAACUUCAAUUAAUUUGAGGGGAACCUAGAACUGAAUCUCUGUUACAAAUAUUUGAUUUAAUUCAGAUAGUAUGGCAUUGUUAAAAAUUUAGUGUUAUACUUGCUGAGCAUUGCUCACUCUUGCUAUUAUUUCUAACCCUUGCAGCUAAGGAUUAAGGUGGUCACCUGGGUAAGCUGCGCGUAAGAGUAAUGCUAGGCGAGACUGCUAGGGAGGUGGCUGCGAGACUAGUAUGGUUAGAGUUGAAUUAUUUCAAUUCAGUUGUAGAUGGUUUUUAUUUAUUGGUUAUCAGUUAUCCUUCUUACCGAAGUUUAGCUGAUAACGUAGUUUAAGUUGUAAAAAGAUUUUAUAGUUUGGGUUCUGGUUUCAAUGCUGUAACCUAUUUGCGAUCCUGUUGUUAGGGGGUCAAAGUGAUUUUGAUUUAAAUCUCUUUUAAAAAUCCAGAUUUUGAAAUAUAUGUUUUACCUUCUUCCGGAAAUACAGGUUUAAAUUGAUUUUUGUCCACGUGGCACCAGAUCCAGACCCCUGGAUCUGAGGGAUGUCACAGUUGGUAUCAGAGCUGUAGGUUAUAAGUUAUUGAAAUCAGAAUAUAGAUUGUAAUAGAAAUGUGUUUAAUGGAACCUCAUAUAGAGGCAAGUUGAGACUAUUGGAUAUAGUAUUUGUCUAUGGAACUGAGAUGGAGUUAGAAUAUUGAUUCUGAGUAAUCAUUUGGUAUAUCAUAGUUCCUAACUCUAGAACUAAUGAGUUGGAUAUCGGGAGAGACAUGAUAGCAUACCUUUAGUUUCCAAUCUUCUAGAGCUUGAGGCUGACUUUCUGAGUAAUCAGUGCCCGCUAGACUUGUGGAUUGACAUGUCUAACCUAGAAUGUUCCUUAUCAUCUCUACCAUUCCUAGAGGGUUGGAUAGAGGGUUAUCUAUUGUUUCUUAUAGAGACAUAUGGAUUUGGUAGAUGAGUAUGAGAUUGGUGAUGAGAAGUCAGGAGUGUAGUUCUCAAAUUGAGAAUUUAUGUAGAAUCCAUGUUAGAUUAUUUGAUAUAGUACCUAUUAGUAGGUUUGAGCGUCAACGCUCUACAAGGCUGAUUGUAUAAAGCUGGACAUGACUUCUGACAACACCAAGCUCGAUAGGACCUACUAACAUGGAUAUCGGUGACGGAAUCUAUAGAGACUAUUAUAAGUCAACGAUAAUAUAUGCAAGCGAUCACCAAGAGUGCUGAAAAGAAUUCUUGGAAUCAAGAUAAGCCAUCAGAGGAAUCAAGUAAGAAGACACUUGUGAGAAUCUUGGCAAUACCUUCUUCAAUUGACUGAUUAAAUUGAUUAUUUCUCUAUCAGUGAUUGUUUUAACAUCUCUUUCAGCGAGACGUUCAUUAAAGAGAAUAUUUCUCUUUAAGAGUAUAUUUUUCACUCUUGAAAUUAUAGAAUGAUGCCAGUGCUUGUGGUAUCAUUUCUGAUCACUUUUCUUUCGAAUUCAGCACAUUUGGAAUCUAUUCCCUAUUUGAACCCCAGGUGCGCAUGAAACUUUUCUCCAAUUAAAGGCAACCAUUGUUAAGUUAAUUAUGAACCCUUUUAUAUUUUUCUACUCUAACUGAGAUGAACAACUCUAAUUAUAGGGGACACAAUGACUCCCUGUCCUCAUUUAGAUACGCAACAUUCUAUCAGGAGGAAACGGUACUAAAGAAUAAAGAAAUAUUACGUUUUAGUCUUCUCUCNCUCUUGCUAUUAUUUCUAACCCUUGCAGCUAAGGAUUAAGGUGGUCACCUGGGUAAGCUGCGCGUAAGAGUAAUGCUAGGCGAGACUGCUAGGGAGGUGGCUGCGAGACUAGUAUGGUUAGAGUUGAAUUAUUUCAAUUCAGUUGUAGAUGGUUUUUAUUUAUUGGUUAUCAGUUAUCCUUCUUACCGAAGUUUAGCUGAUAACGUAGUUUAAGUUGUAAAAAGAUUUUAUAGUUUGGGUUCUGGUUUCAAUGCUGUAACCUAUUUGCGAUCCUGUUGUUAGGGGGUCAAAGUGAUUUUGAUUUAAAUCUCUUUUAAAAAUCCAGAUUUUGAAAUAUAUGUUUUACCUUCUUCCGGAAAUACAGGUUUAAAUUGAUUUUUGUCCACGUGGCACCAGAUCCAGACCCCUGGAUCUGAGGGAUGUCACAGUUGGUAUCAGAGCUGUAGGUUAUAAGUUAUUGAAAUCAGAAUAUAGAUUGUAAUAGAAAUGUGUUUAAUGGAACCUCAUAUAGAGGCAAGUUGAGACUAUUGGAUAUAGUAUUUGUCUAUGGAACUGAGAUGGAGUUAGAAUAUUGAUUCUGAGUAAUCAUUUGGUAUAUCAUAGUUCCUAACUCUAGAACUAAUGAGUUGGAUAUCGGGAGAGACAUGAUAGCAUACCUUUAGCUUCCAAUCUUCUAGAGCUUGAGGAUGACUUUCUGAGUAAUCAGUGUCCGCUAGACUUGUGGAUUGACAUGUCUAACCUAGAAUGUUCCUUAUCAUCUCUACCAUUCCUAGAGGGUUGGAUAGAGGGUUAUCUAUUGUUGCUUAUAGAGACAUAUGGAUUUGGUAGAUGAGUAUGAGAUUGGUGAUGAGAAGUCAGGAGUGUAGUUCUCAAAUUGAGAAUUUAUGUAGAAUCCAUGUUAGAUUAUUUGAUAUAGUACCUAUUAGUAG
rnacentral:lncRNA from 1 species